rnacentral:rRNA from 1 species
AUUGAACGCUGGCGGCAGGCCUAACACAUGCAAGUCGAGCGAGCGGCGGACGGGUGAGUAAUGCCUAGGAAACUGCCUGAUGGAGGGGGAUAACUACUGGAAACGGUAGCUAAUACCGCAUACCAUCGGAUGUGCCCAGAUGGGAUUAGCUAGUAGGUGGGGUAAUGGCUCACCUAGGCGACGAUCCCUAGCUGGUCUGAGAGGAUGACCAGCCACACGGGAACUGAGACACGGGCCAGACUCCUAGGGGAGGCAGCAGGGGGGAAUAUUGCACAAUGGGCGCAAGCCUGAUGCAGCCAUGCCGGGUGUGGGAAGAAGGCCUUCGGGUUGUAAAGCACUUUCAGCGGGGAGGCGUUACCCGCAGAAGAAGCACCGGCUAACUCCGUGCCAGCAGCCGCGGUAAUA